CUAGCAGAAUCCAUUAAGUAUCAAAGCAGAAGCCCAAACUCUUAUCUUCGUCGGAGUUCUUCCUCCACUUUUCGGGUUAGUCCGUACGAUCCACUUCUCUCAUUUUUCCUGUACAUGUAUUCUCUCUUUCUUUUUUAUCUUUUUUUUUUUUUUUAAAUUUCUACUUCCAAUUUUGUGUCUGCAUUUUUAGUUUUUACUGAUCUUUGCAUAAAAUUCCGGAGGUUAAAUUACCGUCAUAUCUUACAAGAUGCCUUCUGCUCAAGAUCCAUUUUAUGUAGUGAAAGAGGAGAUUCAAGAAUCUGUUAGUUGUUGGUGCAUUAGUUAUGGUUUGCAGCACUCUUACUAAAGAAACUUUAUAUUCCGUAAAGAUCGGACGGAGUUUAAGCAGUGUGCUCUAAUUAUAUUGGUACUCGCUUUAAUUCAAUGGUUGGUUUUAAUUUGAAUUUUCAAAGCAUUCUUAUUUGUUUUUAUCAUCAGUAACGCUAUGGAUAUCUUCUUAUCUAAGAAUAGAUUGAUGCUAUUGUGAUCCCGUCCUGUAAUGAAACCUUGUUGUUUCAUCC